GCAUCUGGAGCGCGUUAGACCUGGGCGGCCGGCGGCGGCGUGAGCUCAUCCCGGCCGGCCCGCUGUGGUCUCCAGGCGCGACGGAGGGAGCAGAGCACAGAAGCGCCGCGCCGCGGGCCCCCGGGGGAGCGCGGGGCUGCGCACUUGUCUUCUGCUGAGAAGCCUGGACUGAGAAACGACUGGUGGACCCUGGAUGCUCCCCCUCUGGCCUAGAGCCACACCACAGCGGAGGAAACCAAGCCUUAGAUCACCGAUGGGAAUGGAGCCGAGUUGGGAUUUGAACCCGUGUAUUAAGAGACAAGGUAGGUGCCUCCAGGAAGGGCUCAGGAACACAGACAGAUCUGUGCAGACGGGCUGC